rnacentral:rRNA from 1 species
AGCGGCAAACGGGUGAGUAACACGUAACUGACCUACCCUCAUGUCGGGCACAACUCCGGGAAACUGGGGCUAAUACCCGAUGGCCUUGCGGGUCUACGGACCGGCAAGUAAAGGCGCUUCGGCGUCGCGCGAGGAGGGGGUUGCGGCCUAUCAGCUAGUUGGCAGGGUAACGGCCUACCAAGGCGAUGACGGGUAGGGGGUCUGAGAGGAUGGCCCCCCACAUGGGAACUGAGACACGGUCCUGACUCCUACGGGAGGCAGCAGUGGGGAAUCUUCGUCAAUGGGCGCAAGCCUGAACGAGCGACGCCGCGUGGAGGAAGAAGCCCUUCGGGGUGUAAACUCCUUUUAGGGGGGAAGAAUAAGGACCGGAGGGAAUGCCGGUUCGAUGACGGUACCCCCAGAAAAAGAGACGGCUAACUCUGUGCCAGCAGCCGCGGUAAGACAGAGGUCUCGAGCGUUAUCCGGACUCAUUGGGCGUGAAGGGCGUCUAGGCGGUUCCGUGUGUCACCUGUGAAAGUCUUCGGCUUAACCGGGGGAAGUCGGGUGAAACUACGGAGCUAGAGCCUCGGAGGGGGAGGUGGAACUUCCAGAGUAGCGGUGAAAUGCGCAGAUACUGGAAGGUACCUCGAUAGCGAAGGCAACCUCCUGGCCGAGCGCUGACGCUGAAGCGCGAAAGCGUGGGGAGCAAACCGGAUUAGAUACCCGGGUAGUCCACGCCCCAAACGAUGCUGACUAGGUGUUGGAUCCUUUAAUAGCGGUCCAGUGCCGCAGCUAACGCGUUAAGUCAGCCGCCUGGGGACUACGGCCGCAAGGCUAAAACUCAAGGGAAUUGGCGGGGGCCCACACAAGCGGUGGAGCAUCUGGUUCAAUUCGAUGGUAAGCGAAGAACCUUACCUGGGCUUGACAUGCACGUAGUACGGACCUGAAAAGGGAAGGACUUGGCCCUUCGGGGCCAGGAGCGUGCACAGGUGCUGCAUGGCUGUCGUCAGCUCGUGUCGUAGGACGUCGGGUUAAGUCCCGCAACGAGCGCAACCCCUGCUCUUAGUUGCUACCAGUUCGGCUGAGCACUCUAAGGGGACUGCCGGCGAAUAGCCGGAGGAAGGAGGGGAUGACGUCAAGUCAGUAUGGCCCUUAUGUCCAGGGCGACACAGAUGCUACAAUGGCGGGUACAGAGGGUCGCAAUCUCGUAAGAGGGAGCCAAUCCUUAAAACCCGUCCCAAUUCGGAUUGAGGUCUGCAACUCGACCUCAUGAAGCCGGAAUCGCUAGUAAUCGCGGAUCAGCCACGCCGCGGUGAAUACGUACUUGGGCCUUGCA